CUCUCUCUCUCUCUCUCUCUUCCUGACAAAUACGCUUUCAUCAUCUUCUUCUUCAUCUAAUCCCCACCAAACCCUUCAUCGGUUUCUUCAUGGAUCGGAAACUCGUCUCCUCGCCGGUCCUGUGGAAGCUCUCCGAUCUGCUUCUCAACGAGUCUGUCCCAUUUCUUGGAUUAGAAGAUCAGCUCGAAAGCAUCGAGAGUAAGCUCAGAGAUAUUGUUAACUCUGACUUCUUUGAUUGCAAGAGGGACCUUGUUUAUGACAUUGAAGAGGUCAUCGAUUUCUUGCUCCAAAAAGCUGCUCACAGAAGCCAAACAGGUACCCUUUUCCAAUAUUUUUUGGGUUUCUUUGAUUCUAUCGAUCAACGCACGCUUCGUAAGAAGUUGGAUCGAAUCAGGCUUGAAAUUUUUCGUUCUACUGAUAAAUUAAGUCGCCGGAAGGUAAUGGAGUCAUGGCCUGCUUCUUCGUCGUCUUCUUCGUCUUCAACGAGGAAGCAGCUUGAUGUGGGUGAGAGUAUUAUGUCUCCUGUAAUCAGGAAAGUUAUUGCCCUAGCUAGUCACAGUCAAAUUAGCCCUUCGGUGAGAAGGCGAGCCAGAUGGGUAAGAGAUGAAAUGAGGUUCUUGCAUGUUUUUGUCAAGGAUUUAGAGUCCAAAGAAUUGAGAGGAGAAGAAAUGGCUUGGAUGGAAGAAGUUUCCCUGUUUUCUCGCUCGGCGGAGGACGUUGUUGGGCUCUUCUUGUCUCAGUGGGAACAGACCCAGAAGUCUCCUUUCAAGCAUAUUGCUUCGGCUUCCUGCAAAUUCAAGUCACAGCGUAAGCUUCGCAAGGAGAUGGAUCAGAUGAAGAUUAAAGUUCAAGAAAUCAUCAAAAGGUUUGGUAAACUCCCACAUCAAAUGUAUAUGCCACCUCCCCGAUUUCCUCCAAAUUUACCACCACCACCUCCUAUUCCUUUUCAACCCAACUUUCCUGGUCGGUUUGUUCCCAAUAUUCCAGGAGAUGCAACCUCAUUGUCUUCUUUUGAUGAUGAUGAUUUUGCCGAUGAAUUUGAUGAAAUAGAUGAUGGAACACCGCCCCCUCCUGAUGAACAAUCUCAGCAACCUGGUUUCAAUAACUUUGAUGGCAAUGCCGGUGCUUCCUCCUCAUCAUCUUCUCGCAGAGCUGAACAACCUGAUAUUACUGGCUUCGAUAGCAAUAUGGAUGAUAUUAUGGAGUUAUUGCUCAGAGGUGAUCCAGAUUGUCUUACAGUUUCACUUCUGGGUAUGGAAGGCAUUGGUAAGACAAAGCUUGCUAAGUCUAUUUAUGAAAAUCCUGCUAUUAGAGAUCAUUUCCCUCAUCGUGCUUGGGUCAGUUGGGUGCGUGACUCUAAUAUCAAUCGCCUUAUGGAACAAAUAGUAGGGCCUCAGUAUUUAAACAUUAGACUUGUGAAUGGGGAUUGGGAUGAUUAUUUAUGCAGGUUGAGGCGGAUGCUGAAUGAUUACUUGAUGGAUAAGAGGUAUCUCAUUGUUAUUGAUGGGUUAUCCUCUAAGGUCUUAUGGAAUCAACUUGGAGCUGCAUUUGAUGGCCUAUCAAAUGGGACUAGAAUAAUUUUCAUUUCUUCCAAAUUAGGGGUAACUCCAGAAAGCAGUGAGAGAAACUUCACUUACAGGUUGCAAUUGUGGAGUGAUGAUGACAGCUGGGCAUUGUUUGUUCGUUCUCUGAAUGUGAACAUCCCCUUAGAGCUGCUAGAACUGAAAAAGAAGGCAAUUUUGAGAAUUUGUGGGGGGUUACCAAAGGCAAUUGUGAAACUUGCAGAACUUCUGGCAAGGGAAAAUACAUUUGCAGAGGACUGGUCAAGGGUGAUUGAGAAAUUCAAUAGAGAUGAAGGACCUUGGUCAGGAACCUUGCAGGAGAUCAACAAAAAUUUGCCAUUAUAUUUGAGGAGAUGUCUCUUUUAUUUUCGAUUAUUCCCUGAGCACUACGAGAUUCCCGUGAGAAGAUUGAUUGGAUUAUGGGUUGCAGAGGGUUUUGGGCACCAAAGCAAUGAUAAAGAGUCUCCAGAACGUGUCUCAGAGAAAUGUUUGAUAGAGUUAGCUAACUGGAGCACAAUUCAAGUUACAAAGAAAAAACUAAAUGGAAAAUUUAGGACAUGUCGCUUGCCUGAUGCUCUGCGAGUGCACUGGCUAUUAAAAACCAAGGAGGCUAAAUUUCUGCAAGAUAAUGGCCAUAUUGGUGGCAAUUUGUCCACCAGCAGUGGUACAAUAUAUCGACUUGUUGACCAUCUUGACCGGAGGCAUGCCAGCUUUGAUCAUAUCCACGGAGACAAUGCUACUCCCUCAUCUCUGUACUCCUGUUAUAAAGACACUGUAUCAUUUCUAUCCUUUGAUGGUCAAGAAGGAAGCAGACCUGGAGAAGAUGUAGGGAAUUUUCUUCAACGAUGCAUCUUAAGCAAGUGUUUCAGUUCUCUAUGGGUGCUAGAUCUUGAACAUGUGUACAAGCCAAAAUUGCCCAAAGCAGUAGGCCAGUUAGCUCGAUUGAAGUACCUUGGCUUGAGGUCAACAUACCUGGAAAUGCUUCCUGUGUUUAUUAACAAAUUGCCAAAGCUUCAAACGCUGGAUUUGAAGCAUACUCACAUCAAUGCUCUCCCCAGUUCCAUAUGGAUGAUGCAGGAAUUGCGACACUUAUUCCUUGAUGAGAGUUCCUGCUGCACAUUUGUUUCUCAACCAAAAGGCAGCUGCUUAGUGGAUCUCCAAACACUUUGGGGUGCUUUUGUAAAUGAGGAUAGCCCAGUGAAAGAUGGCCUGGACACAUUUCUGAACGUCACAAAAUUGGGUUUGACAUGCAAGAUAUCAGAGCCAUCUCAGAAUGAGGCAAUGUCCUCUCAACUUGAUGCUGUAGCAAAUUGGGUUCUAAAGCUAAAUCAUCUGCAAUCUUUGAAGUUGAAAUCAUUUAAUGAAUCAGGUCAGCCAUCGGAUCUACACUUAGAGUCAUUAGCAGAUCACAUGGAUCUGUCCAGUAUACAUUUGGUUGGAAAUCUGAGGACUCAGAGUCUUGUGUCAGAGUUCCCACAAAACCUCAUUGAGCUCACUUUGUCAGCAUCUGGACUAGUGGAAGAUCCAAUGCAAUCAUUGGGCAGGCUUCCCAACCUCAGAAACGUGAGGUUAUUCUCUGGGGCCUACGCCGGAAAGAAAAUGGUUUGCACUUUUGGAGGAUUUCCUAAGCUUCAAGUCCUCAAAGUCUGGGAGCUAGAGCAACUAGAGGAAUGGAAUGUAGAGGAAGGGGCACUGCCUAGUCUGAAAUGCCUGGAAAUCAGAUCCUGUAGAAAUUUGGAGAUGGUUCCUAAUGGAUUGCAGUAUGUCAAGACUCUAUGCAAAUUAAAAUUAGCAAAUAUGCCGGUGUUGUCAGCAAGGAUUAAGGAUAAUCAAGGUGAGGAUUGGGAUAAAGUUGCUCAUGUACUCCAUGUGUACACAGAAAGCUGAUUAUGCUGAGGAGUAAACCCAUUACCGUAAGUAUGCACUCUUCUUCUAUGACCUUUCAAUACAGCUCUUUUCUUUUUUGGUUAACAGUCAUUAACUUCCUCAUUAAUAAAUAACUCGCUGCAAUUAUUUGUUUUGAUUGUGAAGGAAUUUGUCCCAGGAUUCAUGAUUCAUACUUAAUUGCUGGUGGUAUUUUGAUGCACCUGGAGAUCUUCUAUUGGCUUCUUUUUGUGUACUUGUGCAAAUAGGAAAUAUGUGCUGAAUAAUCUUAUCGUUUAUAUAAUUCUAACAGGGGCAUAUGGGAUGGUGAAAGUUGGUUGCUAAGGUAGCUUUGGAUGAAAAUUUAGAAGAUGUGUUUUGAUCUUUCCUCUAAAGUGGCAUCAAUGCUUCUCAUUUCAGCUGUUUUGAUUAGCUGCAGCCUAUGUAUUAGUCCAGUAAUUUGAUGAAAUUAUUGUUGCUGCUGCUUCUGCUGAUUCUGUGAUGUGCUGAUUCUGUGAUGAUCAUCAUCAUUUUCAAUAUUCUUGUCAUUUCAUUUUGGUUGCUUGUUGAUGUUGCUUUUAUUAGUGUCGUCCUAACUUUCCCUGAA
rnacentral:misc_RNA from 1 species